rnacentral:lncRNA from 1 species
UUUUUAAAACCCUCAAAAUUUUCAAACCCCACAAAAUAUUCAUCCCUACCAUUCCUCGACUCAAUUUCAACACAAUCCUCCUCCACCCCAAAGAAACACAGCCUUUGAGGAGAAAGUGUUGACCGCCCUUCAAGGUUUGGAAACCAUUACACAAUUGGUGCACUCUCACACGCAAUCCAUCGCCAAGCUAGAAUCCCAAAUGGGGCAACUAGCUAAUGCACUGAACAAGCGAGAGGAAGGAAAGCUUCCAAGCCAACCACUAAGUAAUCCUAGGGGACAAU